UUUUUUACAGGAAUACAUGUACACCUGCUCCAGUCAGCCAAUGAUGUAGUGACAGCGGAAUGCAUAACAUCAUGCUGAUACAGAAAAAAAACUUCAUUCUACUUGGCCUGACGAGACAGAUUCUGCCUUAGGACAAGUGGAAGAGGUCAGACUGCCCCUUGUCUUUACAACUAAAUAGCUGACCUCGUUAAGGUUAACUGGCAAGGUUAACUCAGUGCAGUAAAUCUGAGACCUGCUACACUCUUAUAGAGAAAUCUGAUAUGAAAUAUAAGUGCAGAUUGACAGACCAUGUGCAUGUUUGAACAGCCGGACAGUGAGGGAGGCAAAUUUCCAAAAUCACGACCUUGUCCUGACCUGGCUGAAGGAAGUGGUCAUGCAGCUCAGGACAAAGCACUGAAGGAGAGAGUCUGAUGGGGCUGGACAGUCGGUCUGGAACAAUGGAGGCCGCGCAUUUAACCAAAGAGCAAAACAAAGGAUGGGACAGCCUGCUUCUUCCCACUCACACCUCACCUCAGUGCUGGCAUUUCACACUGCCUUGUGAACAGCAAUUCAAUCAAACUACUGUUUAAGCUAACCCUUGGCCAACACAGAAAUCUAUACGUCCUAGUUGGUUUGUGUUUAAAAAAACCUGUCACUUUCUGUUUUACACUAACACAAACAUGUACUUCAAAUAUCUGGAGUCUGUAGUAUGGUAAACAAUGUACUUUGAAAGGAGGCGAUGUUAAGAUCACUUUAAAAUGACAUGAAAAGACCCAGAGGACACUUACAGUACAAGUAAGAACAUACAUGCUACCAAACUUCAUCCUAUAGUUAUGGUGUAUGGUUAGUUCUGCCACAGACGAAGGAAGGUGUGAGGGACUGAUUGCUCUCUGUAGGGAGUUCAAGGCACCGAGUUAAGCGCCCUCUGGCUAGAGCCAAGAGGGAGAACUCACAAGAUUCCCCUUUAGUCUUUCAAUGGACUGCUCCACCCCUUUACCUGUACUAGCUCUGGUGCAAGGUGUGGGUCCGCAUAUCAAACACUCACCAUGUCUUUGAUGUUCAGAAAAACAUAAACACUGAUCUGACCUGAGUCGUAACAGCUUAUUUGUUCUCUUUAGUCAUUCAUGGGCUUCUUGUUGAAUGGAAAGGCUUCAAAGGGACUUCUAAGUGGGCUUGGCUUACAGUAGCCAUGCUGGCUCUGAGAGGACUGACCUGCUAGGUUGAGGGUUGGAGGAAGGCCAUCUGGUUUCCUGCUCCUAAGAUUUGAUAUUGAUUUAUUGGUUGUACGUGUAAAGAUAGGAAGAAACCAGCUGGCAUGGGAUCUCUCCUUUUAAAUGCUUUUCUUAACCAUUUUCUGUUGGCUUUACUUCUUUACUACAAACAUAUAGGCAAAAUAUAUAAUAGACCAAUAAUGCAUGAUGCAGUGUGAUUAUUGUGAUUAAAAAACUUUAUUGA